GGAGCUCAUUACAGGCAAGUUGUGCCCUUGAUCACUUACUUUUCCCAGCCAUGUUCUUAUUAAUUAUAAUGAUCUGCAUAGGAUAAUUUUGAUGGGAGCCUUUAUGUACCCCAGUUUUGAUUACCUCUAUACCUUGUUCACCCCUGGAAUAUUUUUGGGUAGUACUCGCUAUUGCUUUAUGUGGAUUGGGUAUGGAGAUUCAUUAUUCAUGAUUAUUCUGUUAUUAUCUUGUUAUUAUUAUUGUUCAUGUUAAGAUCAUUAAAUUAAUGGGAACAUGGAGCGACCACCCGGGAAAACAGUGCUACCACAAGGGUUUAAUGGGACGCCCUUGGCUGACUAAUUAGGAAAGCUAGUGGAAGACUACCUUACCCGAAAGGGGCAAGGGCAGUAGGGGAGAGGUCAGUGCGGGGAGGUCCCUGGUUGAUUUUGCUGCGAUGGCUAUCAGCCAGGAACCCUUUACUGGAUCUUCCCAUAAACUGUAGCGGGUUUUCGGAAGCUAGUGGAACUUUGUAAAGGCCUCGUAGUGGAUCCCUAGCCAUUCACCUCGGUAGUGUCUAAGGGCCUUGCAAACCCAGGCGACAUGGGAUACACGACUUGUGGGUAAAGAUGCGCAACCUCUGCAGAGUGUAAAACUAGUAUACUAGCCGUGCUCACGGUCAAGAGCGGCUCGGACCCUCACAUGAUUAAAUAUGGAACUUAAAUUCAAUUUGACAUUUGCAUCGCAUUUGGGAUUAUUUUACUAUUACUGUUCUUUAUUAUUAUUAAGGUUUGGUAUUUACUUACACUUAGUAAUUGCUAAUAAAAGUUGGACCAACUUAUAAAAGCAAUGCUCAGCCUCAACCUCUAUUUCAUUGAUCAGCCUUACACUACAUGAACUCCCACCUUUGGUGAGUUCAUGCCACAUUAUUCCCCACGACUUGUUGAGCUAUGAUCGUAUGUGAGCUCACUCUUGCUGUCUCACACCCCCCACAGGAGAAGAACAGGUGGUCGAAGAGGAGCCGCCUAGCACCGAGGAGUUCGAUCUGAUCUAGGUGGCGUUUCUCAGUUGACAUUGGCGCCGACGAUCCUUAGUUCGUUUUAUAAUUAUUCUUUUAUUUUGUAAUAAGUCUUCCGCUAUGUAAUAAAUACUCUGAUGUUUUAUGACAUUUAUCUCUAUACACUCUGUUAUUAUAUAUGUUGUCUUCUUUGGCGCAUGUAUGAGAUGCACCCGGCUUUGUUCUUUAAAACCGGGUGUUACAGAAGUGGUAUCAGAGGAAAUGUUGACUGUAGGACGAAACCUAGAUAGAAAUGGACAAAACCCUUACCUACUUAUCUUAUUCUGAUUUAUUCUAUACUUAUCUUACUCUUAUUCUUUCUAUGCUUAUCUUGAUCCUGUCUCACCUUCUACUAUUCUACUCUGAUCAUUCUUACCUUUUCUACUCUGACACAAGAUGGAUUUCACACCUUGGAAUCCUUACCCCUAUGAUAUUUUAAGGGAUAGGGAACCUAAGACAAAAUUAAAAAUAUUUUCACUAUUAAAAAUGUUGGUUGAUUGUUCUGAUGAUCAAUGCCUGAUUUGCUUCUUUGAUUGAUUGAAAUAGUAUAGAUGGGCAUCUUAGCAUGUACCACCAUAAGGUAAUGUAUUAGCGUUAGUAGGUGACACACUAAUCUACUAACUAAUAAAUCCCCCGCAGUAACAAUUCCUCGUAAUUACUUGCCUUGUCUACAAUUCUUCCUUUCUUACCCUAUAUUCCUAACCCAAAUGUCUUACUCCUAUAGUGUUAGAAGAGAGCACUAUAGACAUGAUCCUUGGUAUGUCAUGAUUAAGAAAGGCAAAAUCAGUAUAUACACUGUGCUAAGGGACCCGUAGAACUCACCAGUUCCAAAGGAGAAAGAUUUGAAGUUGAGGUUGCAGUAACUACCACCAUCAGACUAGCGACAUUCUUAGUAGAUGGGAAGUUUGUUGGUGUCAACAUCCGUGUGGUUAGAGAUUUUUCGGAUGUCUUCCCAGAAGAGUUACCAGGGAUGCCACCAUAUAGGGAAGUUGAGUUUGUCAUUGAUCCCUUACCUGGGACUACCCCUACUUUCAAACGGCCAUACAGGAGGUCUGUAGAAGAGUUAAAGGGACUGAAGAAGCAGUUAACGGAAUUACAAGAGGCUAGUUACAUACGUCUGAAUUCCUCACCUUGGGGGAGCGCAAGUUCUGUUUGUACAGAAGAAGGAUGGAUCACAACGGAUGUGUGUGGAUUAUAGAUCACUUAAUGAUGUUACUGUGAAGAACAAGUAUCCGUUACCCCGUAUUGAGGAUUUAUUCGAUCAGAUGAGAGGUGCAAAGGUAUUCUCGAAGAUUGAUCUCCAAUCGGGUUACCAUCAAAUGAAGAUUAGGCCAUCGGAUAUUCCCAAGACGAUUUUAUCGACCCGAUAUGGAAUAUAUGAGUUCACUGUUAUGUCGUUUGGAUUAACUAAAACACCAGCCUAUUUUGUGGAUCUAAAGAAUAAAGUGUUCAUGAUUUGGACAGAUUCGUCGGGGUUUUCAUCGACGAUAUUCUUAUCUAUUCUAAGAAUGAAAGUGAUCAUGAACAACAUCUAAGGUUGGUGCUACAGAAGUUACGAGAUAAUCAACUCUAUGCUAAGUUCAGCAAGUGCGAGUUUUGGAUUGACAAGGUGCCAUUCCUUGGUCAUAUUAUUUCUAAUGGAGGAAUAGCAGUGGAUCCUGCUAAAGUGAAGGAGAUAAUGGAGUGUAGAGUGCCCACUACAGUUACCGAGAUUCGGAGUUUCUUGGGACUCGCAGGAUAUUAUCGGAGAUUUAUUGAAGGAUUUUCUAAGAUUGCUAAGCCCAUGACAUCGCUUUUGGAGAAAGGAAGAGAAUUCAAGUGGGAUGAGAAGUGCCAAGAGAGCUUUGAUCAAUUGAAGGAGAGAUUGAUGUCUCCACCAGUAUUGAUUAUGCCAGAUCUGCAGAAGGGAUUUGACAUUUACUGCGAUGCAUGUGGCCAAGGCUUAGGAUGUGUGCUCAUACAAGAAGGACAAGUGAUCGCCUAUGCAUCUCGUCAGUUGCGCAAACAUGAGUUGAACUACCCCACUCAUGACUUGGAAUUGGCUGCCGUUGUGCAUGCACUGAAGAUUUGGAGACACUACAUUGUGGGAACUAAGCGUCAAGUAUACACGGAUCAUAAGAGUUUGAAGUAUAUAUUCACUCAGAAGGAUCUCAACCUUAGGCAACGUCGUUGGUUGGAGCUUAUUAAGGACUAUGAUUUGGAAAUUCACUAUCACCCGGGCAAGGCAAAUUUGGUUGCAGAUGCCUUGAGUCGAAAGGAGCAUGUUCAUUCAGCUGUUGUUGCCCAGCUACCCGAUGAGAUUGUUGAGAAUUUCAGGAGACUUAACCUGGGGAUUGUUGCUCACACUGAAGGAGUUACUAUUGAUGUGGAAUCUACCUUGGAACAAGAAAUCCACAAAGGACAAAUUGGUGAUGCUAAAAUACAAGAGAUUAAGGAUCUGAUUACUGAAGGUCGAGUUCCGGAGUUCACGGAAGAUGAGCAAGGUACUAUAUGGUUCAAAGAUCGGAUAUGUGUUCCAGAGAUUGAUAGCCUCCGUGAGACUAUAUUGAAAGAAGCCCAUGAUUCUGAUUACUCUAUCCACCCUGGAAGCACUAAGAUGUAUCAAGAUUUGAAGCAAAAGUAUUGGUGGUAUGGACUGAAAAGAGAUGUGGCUGCUCAUGUGGCUAAGUGUGAUGUGUGUCAAAGAGUCAAGGCCAAACAUCAAAGACCCGCUGGACUAUUGCACCCAUUGAAGAUACCCGAGUGGAAAUGGGAAGAAAUUGGUAUGGAUUUCAUUGUUGGACUACCCCGCACUCCAGCAGGAUAUGACUCUAUUUGGGUAAUUGUGGAUAGAUUGACAAAAGUGGCUCAUUUCAUACCUGUGAGGACUAAUUACACGGGGGCCAAGCUAGCAGAAUUGUAUAUGACUCGGAUAGUUUGUCUACAUGGAGUACCUAAGAAGAUCGUGUCUGAUCGAGGAUCACAGUUUACUUCUCGAUUUUGGAAGAAGUUGCAUGAGAGCUUGGAUACAAAGUUGAAUUUUAGUUCAGCCUACCAUCCCCAGACUGAUGGACAGACAGAGAGGACUAACCAAGUGCUGGAAGAUAUGUUAAGAGCUUGUGCUCUUAAAUAUGGUGGUAGUUGGGAGAAGAGCUUACCCUAUGCUGAGUUUUCUUAUAAUAAUAGCUAUCAGGCCAAUUUGAAGAUGUCACCAUUUGAGGCUCUGUAUGGCAGAAAGUGCAGGACACCACUGUAUUGGGAUCAAACUGGAGAAAGACAGUUCUUUGGGCCUAAACUUAUUCAAGAGGCAGAAGAACAAGUUCGAAUGAUAAGGGAAAAUUUGAGAAUAGCUCAAACCAGGCAAAAGAGCUAUGCUAAUAAUAGAAGGAGACCACUGGAAUUUGAAGAAGGAGAUUAUGUGUAUCUCAAGGUGUCACCACUCCGGGGUAUGAGAAGGUUCAAAGUCAAAGGAAAGUUGUCCCCUCGCUUUAUUGGACCCUUCUUAAUCUUGAAGCGAGUGGGAGAAGUUGCAUAUCAAUUGGAGUUACCAGAUCAUCUCGCGGAUGUUCAUGAUGUUUUCCAUGUAUCUCAGCUGAAGAAAUGUCUCAGGGUACCUGAAGAACAGUUACCAAUGGAAGACCUUAGUGUUCAAGAGGACUUGACUUAUGCUGAAUACCCCAUCAAGAUUUUGGAUACUUUGACUCGAGUUACGAGGAAUAAGGUUAUAAAGAUGUGCAAAGUUCAAUGGAGCCACCACGGUGAAGAUGAAGCAACUUGGGAAAGAGAAGAAGAACUUCAUAUAGAUUUUCCCCACCUUUUCCCUAGAUCUUCUUAAAUCUCGAGGACGAGAUUAUUUUUAAGGGGGGUAGGAUUUGUAAUACUCAAGUUGUAUACCAAGUGUAAUAAAGAGAGUUCCUCAUUUUGUGUGUCUUAUUUGCAUCAUAAAGGAGCACCCGCACGGCCCACUCAAGCCACGCCGCGCCGCGCCCACUGGGGGCUGGGACCCGCGUGUCGGUCUCGCCCCGCGCGCGCGUCAGCAUCCUCGCGGCGGCUGACCGGGUGGACCCGCGUGUCAGUCGCUGUGUCGCCUUCGCGUUGAAUCGUCCUGUCGCUGCUCCGCCGGGCCCGCGCGUCAGUCGCUUCUUCCUUCACCGCGCCAUGACCGUGCGGACCGAAUCCUUCGCCGGCAACGACGGACUCCGUCAACCACCUCGCCCUGGGUAUAAAACCCAACUACACGAGACCCUUUGACCGUGCCCCGUCGUCCAAACCACUAGAGCCAACUCGUCGCCGAGAAUUUCUCUCCGCCGCGAGGACCAAACCAGCCGCCGCGACCCAAUCGCAUCGUCGUCGACGUCGGGUCCCCGGUGAUCGGCUUUGGAGCAUCUCCAAGUACAUAGGAAGGGUGUCGUGUCAUUCGCGGGCGAAGUCGGCCACUGGGCGUGGCGCAAUUCCUCGUCGAACUUCGACUCGCCGCCGCGGAUCCGCCUUCGUCGUCGCCGGACCCUCUGCGCGCCGAGACUGUCGGUAAUAACCCUUCUACCACGUUCGCCAUCCCCUAAGCAUAGUGUAGUAGCCUUUGAUUGAGCUCUAGGGCGCCUGGUCGUCGGAUUGUCAUUUCUCCGGCGAUGCUCCGCCGUAGGGUGUGGGCGGCGCCGCCGUGACCCGGUAGCUCAGGGUAGGGGGCAGUGGGACCGUCUGAUCUUAUCGGACGGUCUAGGUUCGAACCAGCGUGAGCCGUUGAUGCGGGGAUGGUCGACCCAGAUCAGGACUCCCAUACCGCUUCGCGUCAUUUAAUCUGUGCCGUUGAUCGUCGAAUCCACGAUCCGUAUCGGGUUUCGCUAUUUUCAAUCGCUACCAUCGAUUCCGGAUCCAGCGGGCCGGAUGGCGUACCGGUUCGCUUAGAUGUAGGUUUAAUCUGGCGCGCCCAAGUCUAAUCCAACGGCCGAGGCUCGCCCAUACCGCUUCAUUGGCCGUUUUGCUAAAGAGCCCUUCGCUUAUUAGAUAAUAAACCCGCCGUCCAUACGUUACUAUUCACUGUGUCUAGGAUAUCUUGCGCAGAGACCCCUGAGUUUUCUGGUAUUUGACUCCCAGUCCCGAGAGCAUUAAAAACAGAGAAAUUAAUAUUAGAAAUUCAUUUUUAAUACAAAAACAAAUCUAGAAACUUGUAAAAUGCAUAGAAAAUUCAUUUUAGCUCCAAAUUGAGUCAUUCCAAUUUCUAAAAUUUUGUAAUAUUAUUCUCUGUCAUUUAGAAUCACUGUUUUAACAUGAACUCUGUUAGAAAAUAAAUUUAUCAUCUAAUCCUAUUAUAAUCACCUUAAAUCUUAGGAAAUUCAUAACUUAAAUUCUAUAACUCCAAAUUCAGUGAUUCCAGUUCCUAUGGGUUCAUUUUAAUGUGUAGAUUUUUACUGUAUAUUUCAUUCAUCUGUUUGGUGUGAUGUUGAUUUUGGCUAUACUAUGUAUGUAUUGUGUUGAUGCGAGUAGACGAGCAAGUCACUGUGGAAACUGAGGUUCAGCAAGUAGAGAUAGCUGAGCAGGAGCUCAUUACAGGCAAGUUGUGCCCUUGAUCACUUACUUUUCCCAGCCAUGUUCUUAUUAAUUAUAAUGAUCUGCAUAGGAUAAUUUUGAUGGGAGCCUUUAUGUACCCCAGUUUUGAUUACCUCUAUACCUUGUUCACCCCUGGAAUAUUUUUGGGUAGUACUCGCUAUUGCUUUAUGUGGAUUGGGUAUGGAGAUUCAUUAUUCAUGAUUAUUCUGUUAUUAUCUUGUUAUUAUUAUUGUUCAUGUUAAGAUCAUUAAAUUAAUGGGAACAUGGAGCGACCACCCGGGAAAACAGUGCUACCACAAGGGUUUAAUGGGACGCCCUUGGCUGACUAAUUAGGAAAGCUAGUGGAAGACUACCUUACCCGAAAGGGGCAAGGGCAGUAGGGGAGAGGUCAGUGCGGGGAGGUCCCUGGUUGAUUUUGCUGCGAUGGCUAUCAGCCAGGAACCCUUUACUGGAUCUUCCCAUAAACUGUAGCGGGUUUUCGGAAGCUAGUGGAACUUUGUAAAGGCCUCGUAGUGGAUCCCUAGCCAUUCACCUCGGUAGUGUCUAAGGGCCUUGCAAACCCAGGCGACAUGGGAUACACGACUUGUGGGUAAAGAUGCGCAACCUCUGCAGAGUGUAAAACUAGUAUACUAGCCGUGCUCACGGUCAAGAGCGGCUCGGACCCUCACAUGAUUAAAUAUGGAACUUAAAUUCAAUUUGACAUUUGCAUCGCAUUUGGGAUUAUUUUACUAUUACUGUUCUUUAUUAUUAUUAAGGUUUGGUAUUUACUUACACUUAGUAAUUGCUAAUAAAAGUUGGACCAACUUAUAAAAGCAAUGCUCAGCCUCAACCUCUAUUUCAUUGAUCAGCCUUACACUACAUGAACUCCCACCUUUGGUGAGUUCAUGCCACAUUAUUCCCCACGACUUGUUGAGCUAUGAUCGUAUGUGAGCUCACUCUUGCUGUCUCACACCCCCCACAGGAGAAGAACAGGUGGUCGAAGAGGAGCCGCCUAGCACCGAGGAGUUCGAUCUGAUCUAGGUGGCGUUUCUCAGUUGACAUUGGCGCCGACGAUCCUUAGUUCGUUUUAUAAUUAUUCUUUUAUUUUGUAAUAAGUCUUCCGCUAUGUAAUAAAUACUCUGAUGUUUUAUGACAUUUAUCUCUAUACACUCUGUUAUUAUAUAUGUUGUCUUCUUUGGCGCAUGUAUGAGAUGCACCCGGCUUUGUUCUUU
rnacentral:lncRNA from 1 species